UCAAAAUUGUAAUGACAAUUACAUCUUAACUGAUAAACAAUAAAAGUUAUAUUUCUUUAAUUCUAUUUAUUUUUCAAAUUCUAUUAGAAAUUAAAAGCGAUUUGAAUAUAUGUAUUCUUACAAAAUCAAUUCUUAAUACCAAAAGCACAAUCUCUUCUUAGCGAAUGUUUGAGCUCUGGUUCAACCCAAAUAAUAGAAAGACAUGAAGAAAAUAUUUAAAACUUGUUCAACAGCCAUUGGUGAAAGAUGUCGUAUUGAUUGUUGUUCACCGCCUUAAAAGUUCUUUUUGUUGUGGACCUACUAUGCAAAUGUGUGGCACUGGGAUUGUGUUUUUACUGCUCUAUGCUUUCGAGAAAUCUACCCUGACCUAUUAUAUUUAUAAAAGGAAUGGAAUACUCUUCAGAAGGCGUUACACUAUUACAUGAGUUAUACCGGUAUGGCUCAGAUUUAAGAUAGUUCUUACUUUAACAAUAUCCGAAAUAAUUUAUCCGGUAUUGGUACUUUAUAAUUUCGUAAAAGACAUUGAGACUUAUAUUGUUAAGCAUUUCAAAUUGUACAGAAUAUGAUAAAAAACAGAUUUUACUAGUCGAAAUUAUAUUUCCUCAUUGGGCUUUUCCGCAAAUAUGUAGAGAUAUUAAACGCAAGCCAUAAACUACACCGAGUUAGCGCAUGGCUUGAAAACUUAGCCCGACGUAGUACACAUGGCGUAAAAUGCUUAGAGAAGAACUUUAACAAAUGGCGUUUUAAGCAAAGGAAAGUAGCAUAUCGUUAUAUGAACAAGUUCUUAUUGCAACUACGUGGUCCGCAGUUACACAGGAUAUACACUUUCAGCAAACUUGCACUGCUGAUUUAUAGAAUUUUGCACAAAGUCAUAAAUGUACAUCCGAAGCUAUAUGCGUCUGGCAAUCAUGUUUAUUU
rnacentral:lncRNA from 1 species